CAUGUAAGGUUAAAGUGAAAGGAACAUUAAAAGGGAGGAAUGGAAUUGGAUUCCCUUCGCCGCCCUCUACUUUAUCUUCCUAUCAUCCCCCCUCCGACGCCAGAACGAAUCAUUCCAUGGAUUCGUCUCCUCUCCUUAAAUUCAAGUUCGCCAGACAGGUAACUCCACCGUCCCUUCCUCUUUGAAGUCCCCGCAAUUCCCCUUCCCAAAAUAGGGCAAAAAACCAUCAAACGUGAUUACCUAUAUGUGUGCCGUGCUCUGCAAUCCAUGUCGAGCUCAGACCGUGCGUUCGGUAACGAUCCCCCUCAUCUGCGGUCGAUUCGAAUACCUGGGGAUGGAAGAUGCUUGUUCAGAUCUGUGGCUCAUGGUGCCUAUCUGAGAGAAGGAAAACCAUCUCCAAGUGAAAGCCUUCAGAAAGAACUAGCAGAUGAACUAAGACUAAAAGUGGCAGAUGAAUUUAUGAGAAGGCGAUCAGACACCGAGUGGUUUCUUGAAGGUGAUUUUGAUACAUAUGUUACCCAGAUCAGAAAGCCUCAUAUGUGGGGAGGAGAGCCUGAGCUGCUCAUGUGUUCACAUGUUCUUCGGUUUGUAACAUUUCUGCAGAUGCCAAUAACUGUUUACAUGCAUGGUAGAAUUUCUGAUAGCCUUCAAAUUAUAGCAGAGUAUGGUCAGGAGUAUGGCAAGGAAGAUCCAAUUCGUGUGCUUUAUCAUGGCUGUGGGCAUUAUGAUGCUUUGCAGAUACCUCUUGGAAGAACAAAGUUGAAAUCGUAAGAUUUGUGAAUCGAGCUUGAUGUUGGGUUUGACUUGGUUAGAAGUCAGCAGUACUCUCAUAUUUAAAAGGUAUGUGAAAAGAUAAGCAGCUACGGACACAGCAGGACUCAAUGGGUUUGCAGCUUAUGCUACUCGUAAAGUCAGCGACUAGUUGCAGAAAUCUGCAUAAGAAAAUUCACUUAAAAACUCAUACUCGGCUGUUUGUUCUAAUCUAAUUUAUUGAACAUGAUCAUCAUGCUUCUACCUCAUAUGGUAUGAAAUAAUGAGUCAAUGGAUUUCCAUUGUCAGUGGUUGGUCGUGAAUCACUCAAUUUGAGUGAACUGCAUUACGAUUGCUUUUGUGCUGGUUAUUGCAAGUCAUGAUGGUGUUGUUAAAUUUGUUCUGGCAAAAAAACCAUUAUUUUUUUUA